AUAGAGCAAACAGAGUUCUUGAGAGACAUUUUCCUGGCCAGGUGAUUAACAGGCACACUUGGACUGUCACUCUUGAGAGGGAACAAAGGCACAUGAAGCCCGAGGCUAGCAUUUGCUAACAGCAUUACUCUUGUUUUGGAAUAACGUGCAUUCUCAGGAUGCGAUGAUGCCUCUCUGGAAUUUGAAACUAAAUUUCUCUUAUGGUUAGUGAUGUUCACGGCCUCUAACCCUGGCCCAUUUCCAAAUCCGACAGAGGCAGGGCCCUGCUCUGCUGCUGUGAUUUCUAUCCAGUCACCUGUGACACAGCCCUCUGCUCUCGGGCAUGCCAGUCACAAAGCCAUACUUCGUGACUGUGGCCGUCCUGCUGAUCCUGGUUGACAAGACCACAGGUGGCCUGUUCGGACUCCGCAGUGGCAAGAGGCGAGAGCCAUGGGUUUCGUGUGAGCUUUACCAGGGCAGCUGCAGAAAUGCCUGCCAGAAAUACGAGAUCCAGUACCUGACCUGCCCCAAGAAGAGGAAAUGCUGCCUCAAAUUUCCUAUGAAAAUUACUCGUGUCUAACUCUGAGAGGGGCCUGGCUUGCCCACCGCGAAUGUUUCAAGCUACUCUCAGGUUUGAAUGUCGCCAGCGUCAUCCCUUCUUGAAGUAAUUUCCCCCACAUUCUGGAAUGUUCUUAUAAAAACGCACUCCUUUCUUG
rnacentral:lncRNA from 1 species